GACGAACGCUGGCGGCGUGCUUGACACAUGCAAGUCGUACGGUAAGGCCCUUUCGGGGGUACACGAGUGGCGAACGGGUGAGUAACACGUGAGUAACCUGCCCACAACUUUGGGAUAACGCUAGGAAACUGGUGCUAAUACUGGAUAUGUGCUCCUGCUGCAUGGUGGGGGUUGGAAAGCUCCGGCGGUUGUGGAUGGACUCGCGGCCUAUCAGCUUGUUGGUGGGGUAGUGGCCUACCAAGGCGGCGACGGGUAGCCGGCCUGAGAGGGUGACCGGCCACAUUGGGACUGAGAUACGGCCCAGACUCCUACGGGAGGCAGCAGUGGGGAAUAUUGCACAAUGGGCGCAAGCCUGAUGCAGCAACGCCGCGUGCGGGAUGACGGCCUUCGGGUUGUAAACCGCUUUCAGCAGGGACGAAGCUUUUUGUGACGGUACCUGCAGAAGAAGCACCGGCUAACUACGU
rnacentral:rRNA from 1 species